AGCUCUGUAAGCGUAUACCAAAGUUGUUGCAGUUAAAACGCUCGUAGUCGGAUUUUGGCAGUUCCGGAUGUGUGCGCGUCGUGCGCGCACUUUGCAGGGAUUGCUUUUGUGGGUAUGCGUGGGAUGAUGCAACUUUAUUGUUGAACGUCCCUACGCAACCACUCUUUACUGUGAGAAAAUUAGAGUGUUCAAAGCAGGCAAUUGCCGUGAAUACAUUAGCAUGGAAUAAUAGAAUAGGACUCUGUCUUAUUUUGUUGGUUUGUUAAUUCGGAGUAAUGAUUAAGAGGGACAGUUGGGGGCAUUUGUAUUUCGGCGCUAGAGGUGAAAUUCUUAGAUUGCCGAAAGACAAACUGCUGCGAAAGCGUCUGCCAAGGAUGUUUUCA
rnacentral:rRNA from 1 species